rnacentral:rRNA from 1 species
AUUGAACGCUGGCGGCAGGCCUAACACAUGCAAGUCGAACGAGUGGCGGACGGGUGAGUAAUGUCUGGGAAACUGCCCGAUGGAGGGGGAUAACUACUGGAAACGGUAGCUAAUACCGCAUACCAUCGGAUGUGCCCAGAUGGGCUUAGCUAUUAGGUGGGGUAACGGCUCACCUAGGCGCCGAUCCCUAGCUGGUCGGAGAGGAGGAACAGCCACAAUGGGUCUGAGACACCGUCCUGACGCCUGCGGGAGGCAGCAGUGGGGAAUCUUGCAAGAUGGGCGCAAGCCUGAUGCAGCCAUGCCGGGUGUAUGAAGAAGGCCUUCGGGUUGUAAAGUACUUUCAGCGGGGAGGCGUUACCCGCAGAAGAAGCCCCGGCUAACUCCGUGCCAGCAGCCGCGGUAAUAC